GCAGCACAGGAGAGCUUGCUCUCUGGGUGGCGAGUGGCGGACGGGUGAGGAAUACAUCGGAAUCUACCUUUUCGUGGGGGAUAACGUAGGGAAACUUACGCUAAUACCGCAUACGACCUACGGGUGAAAGUGGGGGACCGCAAGGCCUCACGCGAUUAGAUGAGCCGAUGUCCGAUUAGCUAGUUGGCGGGGUAAUGGCCCACCAAGGCGACGAUCGGUAGCUGGUCUGAGAGGAUGAUCAGCCACACUGGAACUGAGACACGGUCCAGACUCCUACGGGAGGCAGCAGUGGGGAAUAUUGGACAAUGGGCGCAAGCCUGAUCCAGCCAUACCGCGUGGGUGAAGAAGGCCUUCGGGUUGUAAAGCCCUUUUGUUGGGAAAGAAAUCCUGUCGAUUAAUACUCGGUGGGGAUGACGGUACCCAAAGAAUAAGCACCGGCUAACUUCGUGCCAGCAGCCGCGGUAAUACGAAGGGUGCAAGCGUUACUCGGAAUUACUGGGCGUAAAGCGUGCGUAGGUGGUGGUUUAAGUCUGCUGUGAAAGCCCUGGGCUCAACCUGGGAAUUGCAGUGGAUACUGGGUCACUAGAGUGUGGUAGAGGGAUGCGGAAUUUCUGGUGUAGCAGUGAAAUGCGUA
rnacentral:rRNA from 1 species